AAGACAAACUAAUAACGAAGGCGCAAAGCACUGUGAACCUGAUGUCGUGGGUAGGAGCACUGCUAAAGAAUCCUGAUCACUAUACUCAAGAGCUGGAGAAUUCCCCUCCACUGCUGACAGCUGAGGAAGAGGUGUUGUGAGGCAGCUGUCGCUGAUGUUGGAGAACAUGGCUCUCUUCUGUAGUGACUCCACUGAAAAACUUAGAAGAGUGCCCCUGAAUCAGAGCUGGCAAGUUCUCAAAGGUCACCUUUUGGUGGUACAUCAGUUGUAUUCUCCACUCACUUGGAGCCAGGGUCUG